rnacentral:rRNA from 1 species
AACGAACGCUGGCGGCAGGCCUAACACAUGCAAGUCGAACGCCCCGCAAGGGGAGUGGCGCACGGGUGAGUAACGCGUGAGAAUAUGCCCUUCGGUUCGGAAUAACACAGGGAAACUUGUGCUAAUACCGGAUACGAUCUACGGAUGAAAGAUUUAUCGCCGAGGGAGUAGCCCGCGUAGGAUUAGCUAGUUGGUGAGGUAAUGGCUCACCAAGGCGACGAUCCUUAGCUGGUCUGAGAGGAUGAUCAGCCACACUGGGACUGAGACACGGCCCAGACUCCUACGGGAGGCAGCAGUGGGGAAUAUUGGACAAUGGGCGAAAGCCUGAUCCAGCCAUGCCGCGUGAGUGAUGAAGGCCUUAGGGUUGUAAAGCUCUUUCGCCAGGGAAGAUAAUGACGGUACCUGGAAAAGAAGCCUCGGCUGACUCCGUGCCAGCCGCCGCAGUAA